GUAGCAGUGAAAUGCGUAGAUAUGGUGGAGGAACACCGAUGCGAAGGCAGCCCCUUGGGUCAAGAACUGACGCUCAUGCACGAAUGCGUGGGGAGCAAACAGGAUUAGAUACCUGGUAGUCCACGCCCUAACGAUGUCUACUAGUUGUCGGGUCUUAAUUGACUUGGUAACGCAGCUAACGCGUGAAGUAGACCGCCUGGGGAGUACGGUCGCAAGAUUAAAACUCAAAGGAAUUGACGGGGACCCGCACAAGCGGUGGAUGAUGUGGAUUAAUUCGAUGCAACGCGAAAAACCUUACCUACCCUUGACAUGGCUGGAAUCCUUGAGAGAUUGAGGAGUGCUCGAAAAAGAACCAGUACACAGGUGCUGCAUGGCUGUCGUCAGCUCGUGUCGUGAGAUGUUGGGUUAAGUCCCGCAACGAGCGCAACCCUUGUCAUUAGUUGCUACGAAAGGGCACUCUAAUGAGACUGCCGGUGACAAACCGGAGGAAGGUGGGGAUGACGUCAAGUCCUCAUGGCCCUUAUAGGUAGGGCUACACACGUCAUACAAUGGAUGGUACAAAGGGUCGCCAACCCGCGAGGGGGAGCCAAUCCCAUAAAACCAUUCGUAGUCCGGAUCGCAGUCUGCAACUCGACUGCGUGAAGUCGGAAUCGCUAGUAAUCGUGGAUCAGAAUGUCACGGUGAAUACGUUCCCGGGUCUUGUACACACCGCCCGUCACACCAUGGGAGCGGGUUCUGCCAGAAGUAGUUAGCCAACCGCAAGGAGGGCGAUUACCACGGCAGGGUUCGUGACUGGGGUG
rnacentral:rRNA from 1 species